GACGAACGCUGGCGGCGCGCCUAACACAUGCAAGUCGAACGAGAGAUGAAGAGCUUGCUCUUCAAAUCGAGUGGCGAACGGGUGAGUAACGCGUGAGGAACCUGCCUCAAAGAGGGGGACAACAGUUGGAAACGACUGCUAAUACCGCAUAAGCCCACGGCAUCGUUUGGCAAUCAAAGGAGCAAUCCGCUGAAAGAUGGGCUCGCGUCUGAUUAGAUAGUUGGUGAGGUAACGGCUCACCAAGUCGACGAUCAGUAGCCGGACUGAGAGGUUGAUCGGCCACAUUGGGACUGAGACACGGCCCAGACUCCUACGGGAGGCAGCAGUGGGGGAUAUUUGGACAAUGGGGAACCCUGGAUCCAGCGAUGCCGCGUGAGGAG
rnacentral:rRNA from 1 species